AUGCAGUGGGGAGGAGCGUGGCCUCUUCAGGUUGUGUGUGUGGUGGCCUGGCAUUCAAUCUGUGAGGUGGAUGCGUGUUGGAAGGACCCCUUUUGGUUUCUUUUUGCUCAGAGCUUUCUUUUAAUAAAUUCCGCUCUCCUCACCUUUCAAUGUGUCCGUAUGCCUAAUUUUUCCUGGUCCUGUGACAAGAACCUGGAUUUUAGCUGAACUAAGGAGCGAAAGAUCCUGGAUCAUUUUGGUGACCCAUACUGGUACAUGAGGAAAGAGUUCAGUACAGACUGACACAAGAUUAUCUUAGCUCCUAUUCCAGAUUCUCAGAGUAUAGAUUCUGACUGGAUUACCCUGGUCCUUGAAGUAUACCUAGGAGAUGGAAUAACAUUGUAUAAGCAUCCAUGUUGUCAUUAAGAGGAAAGAGUUUCCAUUAAAACAGGACAAGAAUUUCAAAGAAGGGAACCUGCAUACUUGAAGUUUCUUUGUGAGUGGAAGUAGUGGCUUUCCACUAUCCAUAUAUUUGUAUAUACAAAUUUUUGAUGAUCAUUGUCAGUUACCCAGAAACAGACCGCAAGAUGAGGAUUCAGGUGCAAGUUGUUUAUGAAGGAAGUGCUGCCAGGAGAAUCUUGUAAAAGAGUGAGAAAAACAGGAGAGGAAAGAGGAAGAAGCAAGCAAUUGUGUGGUUUUAGGCCAGGUCCUUACCUCAGCCUAAUCCUGCGUAAAUCACAGCUCAGAGUUAGAGCUGUUUCAAGGAAAGUAGCUGGGCUUUAUAACUCCUGCACCAGCCAGUCCUGGAAUAAGGGUCACUGGCUUUAGGGUGGGGGUAAAAGGGCAGUUUGUGAACUCCCAGGCACUUCAAACUUUUUGCUGUUGAGGCAAAGCAAACCCAGUAGCCCAAGAGUGGGCCUUCAAAGAGAAACACAGCUGUGUGAUUUGAAGGAAAAACACACAGUAACUGGAAAAACGAUGCUCUGAAAUGCUAAAAGAGACUCAGCAGUAUACUUAGUGACAUCCCUAUGCCAGGUACCUUCCAAUUGAUUUCAUUAGGAUAGAAAGUACAGCUUUUUGGUUUACCGUCUCCCCAAGCUUAGACAGCCUGCUUUAGUCUUCUGCACCAUAGCCCCCACACUUAGCCCAAACUCCUGGGUUACCACAUCUCAGCCUGGACUUCAAUGUCCUUGGUCCUCAGUAAUCUGGCAGGGUGGAUCCAAUAUAGACUAUUUUUUCCUUUUUAACUUGAAAUCUGAUUGACUUGUGACCCUGGCUUAAUUGAAGGCAAAACUUUAUCUUUGAUAAUACUGCAAAAUUGAACUUGCCAAAAUUAUUAUUUUAGACAAUAUGUUUUAAACAUCAGGAAAAAUUUAGUCUAUUUAUUAAGCCUUUCACUAUGCAUUCAGAAAUUUCCAUUAAUAAUACCAUAUUUCCUCAAGUCUCUCUGCCACGACCCUCAUGUAUGUAUUCAUUUCUGACGAAAUCUGAAAAAAAUAUAUAGGUCUGCUUCUACAGCAACCUUCCCCAUAGGCUGCUACAAUCAAAAACAAUAAUCUAGGUGGGCUAUAAACACUGCACCUCACCAUCACAGUGUCCAAGUAGAAUUGUUAUAACUUGGCAAAAUGAACCCAAGUUUUGUCCUCAGCUCCUCUUUUCUUUCUAGGAUUUAUACAUGCUUGGGAAUGUCUGGAAUCCUGAGGAGGCAGUCAGAGAAAUAUCUCCUUAUGUGAGAGUUUGAUUUGCCUCCUGGGAAGGACUUUCCAUCAGGGAAAAAGAGUCAGAUGGAUAGAAUAUGGCCAAGGGCAGUGGACAGGAUCUGAGGGAAAAGGACAAUCUUAUCACAAUCCAAGAAUAAAAUCAUAUUGUUGGUAUCUUUUGUGACCGUCUUCUUUAGCUUAACAUUGUUUGUGACAGUUGGAUAUAGCCAUUCUCCCUUCGUUUACCUUUCUAUACUUUCUGGAUGCAACACAAUUUGUUUGUCUAGUGUACCAUUGAGUACAUGUAGAUUGUUUCCAAAAACAAAGUCAGUUAUUUCAGUCCUGACUCAGUCCUCCAGUCCAGCUCCCAGGAACUCAUGCAUAAGCCUCAUUAUGAGGAGGCACUAUUACAGGAGAAAGAAAGAGUUAAUAUGUAAGGACAUUGGUGUGAUAAGACAUCAACCAUGUUAGUUCCAGCAUUUUUGUUGGUGAUGCCAGAUAGCAUGGCAUUGCUGGCUUAUCUCUUCUAGCAAUCCUAGACGCUCUUUCUGUCACAAUUUAUAAUCUGUUUAUCUAAAGCCACCCCCUUUAACCUAGGAGACAAAAUAUGUUGUGUUCAGAAAAUGCUCACUAAAUCACAGUCCAAGAUUGAGGGCCCUGAGGCAGCACCUCACAAGGAUGCUAUUAGAGGAGGCCUCAGUGAUUUUGAAGAUGAGGGCUGGGCACAACCACCUCUGCUCAGACUUUGUGGGCAUGUCAGUGGCAACAGGAGCAGCAGGUCUGUGUGAGUAUGCACUGCUAGUUACCACCUUGUGCCUCAUUUAACUGCUUGGAAAAAAACAAAAGGGAGAUGGAGUCAAGGGUAAUAAGAAAAAUACACAAAGUUUAUAAAGUAAUUAAGUAUCAAACACUUGUUUAAAACUAGUAGGACACCUGAGUUCUGUUAUUUUUACCACCUGUGUUAAUAAUAAUAAUCAAACAAUGCCUACACCAAAGUACCCUACUAUGGUCCCCCUUGCCAUCACAUUCUUCUCUCGUUCUCCCAGUGACAACCAUGGUCUAGCCAUCUGUGAUGAUUAUUUUCUUCAUUUUCUUUACAGAUUUUCAACUUAAGUAUGGAUUCAAACUACAUGACAUAGUUUGGCUUGCCUUGCUUUUGAACUUUUACAUGAAUAAAGUCAUAUUGUUAGUGUCUUUUGUGACUGUCUUCUUUAGCUUAACAAUGCUUGUGACAGUUGGAUAUAGCCAUUCUCCCCUGGUUUUCCUUUUUGUAUUUUCUGGAUGCAACACAAUUUGUUUGUCUAGUGUACUAUUGAGUACAUGUAGAUUGUUUCCAGUUAUUGGCUUUAUGAACAAUACUGCUUAAAUACUCUGUAUUCA